rnacentral:rRNA from 1 species
UACGUAGGGUGCAAGCGUCGUCCGGAAUUAUUGGGCGUAAAGAGCUCGUAGGCGGUCUGUCGCGUCUGCUGUGAAAACUCAGGGCUUAACCCUGAGCUUGCAGUGGGUACGGGCAGACUAGAGUGCGGUAGGGGAGACUGGAAUUCCUGGUGUAGCGGUGAAAUGCGCAGAUAUCAGGAGGAACACCGGUGGCGAAGGCGGGUCUCUGGGCCGUAACUGACGCUGAGGAGCGAAAGCAUGGGGAGCGAACAGG